CGUUCUAGAACCUCCUCGAAAAAAUCACACCAAGCUUAUCACCAUUCAAAAGGGAUCUUUCCUACUGUUUUCGUUUGUCGGAGCAAAGAACUUCGUUUAUCAACAAGUCUUAAAGUCACAGAAUGUAUCGCUGGGCAAACUAUUCUCCGCGGAGAUUAAGGGAUGGAUAAAGACAGAUAUGCAGCAACAGCAGCAAAGAAGACAGGCGACUCGUCCCUGGAAAUGCCUAACGCUUCAGCCGAUAACAAUGAGCGCUUGUCCUACUUGUCUCAGAAGGCGCGCUCUAUGUCUUUGUACGGCAGUCAAUUUCUCCAAGAAGCGAGAAGUCCCACACAUGCUUUGUUUUGCUUGUCAGAAACUAAUCCGCUUCGUGAACUAUCAAAAUCGAUCGUGGUGUCGAAAGUGUUUGAAUAUUUUAUUUUGCUGGCUAUCGGAGCCAAUUGUAUCGUGUUAGCUCUAAACACACCGCUUCCAAAAAAUGAUCGCACAGACAUGGCUCAACAGUUGGAAGCUGCUGAAUACUACUUCGUUGGUAUAUUUUGUGUGGAGGCGCUGUUGAAAAUAAUGGCUUUUGGCUUUGUGCUUCACCCGGGGUCCUACCUAAGAAAUGGUUGGAAUAUUCUGGAUUUCACUGUUGUUGUGGUGGGAGUUAUAAGUCUUCCACCCGUCAGCAAAUUUCUUGGAGAUAAUGGUACCCUGGAUGUAAAAGCUCUGAGGGCUGUGCGAGUGCUCAGGCCUCUUAAACUUAUUUCUGGUGUACCAAGUCUGCAAGUUGUGAUGAAGUCCAUAGUCCGUGCCAUGGUUCCUCUUUUGCAAAUAGCCCUUUUGGUCUUGUUUUGUAUUCUUAUUUAUGCAAUUAUAGGUUUAGAUUUUCUCAAAGAUAAAUUUCACACCACCUGCUUCGACAAAAAAACAAAUUCAAUAGCAUCAAAUCCUGAGCCGUGUGACAAGGGACCCUUUCCCGGAGUGAGGAAGAUUUUUCGUGGUCGACGUUGUCCCGAGGAAACGACAUGCCGAGAGUAUUGGAUUGGUCCGAACGCUGGCAUCACGUUAUUUGAUAACAUCGCAUUGUCAAUGCUUACUGUGUUUCAGUGCAUAACAAUGGAAGGAUGGACGUCGAUUAUGUACAAAACUUUUGAUGCAAUGGAUGAAGACGGAUAUCUUUAUGCCUGCUAUUAUGUCUCGCUAAUUGUGAUUGGUUCUUUUUUCGUCCUUAAUCUUGUGCUUGGAGUUUUGAGUGGGGAAUUUGCAAAGGAAAGAGAGAGAGUGGAUACUCGACGAAAGUUCUUUAAAGUUCGCAGACAACAACAACUGAACCGUCAGGUGGAUGCGUACUUGUCGUGGAUAGCCAAAGCCGCGGAAACGGCAGCAGACGACAACUUCAGGACGAAACAUCUCAGCUUGAACGACUCGCAAUCACAACUUGUUACCAGCGACGUGGUCAGUAAUCCAGGAAGAGUGGUCACCAGAAGAGAAGGGAACUGUUACCGAGUCAACAUGCCGGAGAGCACGGGCGCACUUCAGCGGUUUUUGCAGUGGAACAGUAAAUUCUCUGUAAAAGUCGGUCGCAUGGUGAAAACUCAAGCGUUUUAUUGGACUGUCUUGGUUUGCGUUUUCCUCAACACAAUUGUUCUGGCCGUGGAGUAUUAUGGCCAACCGAAAUGGCUGUCAGAUUUUCAAGCAUGGGCUGAAAUCGUGUUUUUGACAUUAUUCUUUGUGGAGAUGAUUCUGAAGAUUUAUGGUCUUGGAUUUCACGUUUACUUUAACUCAAGUUUCAAUUGUUUCGAUUGCUCGAUUGUGAUUUCAGGAUUUCUGGACAUUAUACUCUCUAAAACUGUGCUAGUAAAACUUGGUAUCAGUGUAUUGAGAUGUGUUCGUCUUCUCAGAGUCUUCAAGGUGACCAGACACUGGAGAUCGCUAAGGAACCUCGCCACCUCUCUCGUCAGCAGCAUCAAGUCUAUCGUGAGCCUGAUUUUCUUGCUGUUCCUGUUUAUCCUGAUUGCUGCCUUGCUUGGUAUGCAGAUAUUUGGUGGAAGAUUUUCAGAAGACGAAACUCCCACAACGAACUUUGAUAAUUUUCAGAACGCCAUGUUAGCUGUUUUUCAGAUACUCACAGGGGAGGACUGGAAUUCUGUUAUGUACAGUGGAGUGAAGGCUUAUGGUGGACCUCAUGAGGCAUCAGGAAUUGCAGCAAGCCUGUAUUUUGUUCUACUAGUUAUCUUAGGAAAUUACACGUUGUUGAAUGUUUUCUUGGCUAUCGCCGUCGACAACUUAGCAAACGCACAAAUCUUGACAGAGGACGAAGAAAACGAGAAACUUGAAAGAGAACGCGCUCGAGCAGCCAACAAAAAAAAGUACCAACCCAGCAACAAGGGUUGGGGAAAGGCUGGGAACAAACUGCCUAUGAUCAUGGCCAUCAAUCGAAUGGUACGCAAGAGGAAUGGAAAUGCAGCAACUUCAACUGGGGAAGGAAACAGCACGAGUAUAGAGAACGGAGAGACUAGUGUACCGCCGAUGUCCUCGUCCUUGAAAAGAAAGAUAAAAACGUACAGGCGAGAAGCAAGUCUUUAUGAAAACAAGGAAGAAAGAAACGGGACAGACGCUGCCAAACUCAAAGAAACACCUGGGACGAGUAGUGAUGCGGGUGAGAAGAACCACAAGACAAGGAGGAUAAAGAGAGGAAAGAAUGAAGCAAAUGGAGACACGGAAAGGGAAGACGACGAUGACGAAGAUGAAGACGAUCCACCCGUAAGUCGCAGGAACAUCAUAAAGAUGUUGAAGACCGGAGGGAGAUUUGGUAAUCGUCGGCGGAAUCCUCGGAAAAAGAAGCCUAUUUUGAAGACCAAAACGUUGUUUAUAUUUGGACCCGAGAAUAGAUUACGACGUCAAUGCCACCGGAUCGUGAACCUAAGACACUUUGACAAUUUCAUGUUGGUUGUAAUCCUGUUGAGUAGCAUUACAAUUGCCAUCGAGGAUCCAGUGAAUGAUGACGCCAAACUGAACAAGGUGCUGAUGUAUUUUGACUAUGUCUUCACUGGGAUAUUUGCUCUAGAGGUACUCAUUAAGGUUGUGGAUGUGGGGAUCAUUCUUCAUAAGGGCGCCUAUUUCCGUGAUUGGUGGAAUAUUAUCGAUGCUCUUGUGGUGUCUUUCAACAUGGCUUCGCUCAUUUUAGAACAAACAGACUCAUCUGGCAGUGGCCACUCUUUAAUUAAAGCACUCCGUGUAUUCCGAGUGCUAAGACCGUUUAAAGGCGUGCACAAAAUUAAGAAAUUACAGGCUGUAUUUCGCUGUAUGUGGUACUCAGUAAAGAAUGUUGCUAAUAUCCUGAUGAUCACCAUGUUGUUUUUGUUUAUUUUCGCCGUCAUGGGUGUACAACUGUUCAAAGGAAAGUUUCAACAUUGCAACGACACCUCAAAGCGCACAAAGGAAGAGUGCCAAGGGUAUUUUUUUGUUUUCAAGUACGAUGAGCUCUACCAACAGGAAACAGUUGAAAAGGUUGAGAAUCGCACGUGGGAGAAUAAACUCCUUAACUUUGACAACGUAUUACAAGCAAUGUUGACUCUUUACACUUCUUCUACUGGUGAAGGUUGGCCCAGUGCCAUGAAGACCACUAUGGAUACUACAGAAAUAGACAAAGGUCCAAUCCAUAAUUACAGCCCGGGAUACGCACUUUAUUACAUCGCCUUUGUUGUGGUGUUCUCUUUUUUCUUCCUCAACAUCUUUGUGGCGUUAAUAAUUCUCACCUUCCAAGAGGAGGGUGAAAGGGAAAUUGCGAGUUGUGAGUUGGACAGAAAUCAGCGUGAUUGCAUUCAGUUUGCACUUACUGCUAAGCCUGCGCAGAGAUAUAUGCCGGCUGACCACAAAAGCCUGCAGUAUAAGGUCUGGGUAAUUGUCAUGUCGAAGCCAUUUGAUACAUUCAUUUUGGUCUUGAUAGCCCUGAACACCGGUGUGCUUAUGUCUCAGCAUUACAAGCAAGACGAACAAUAUACAGACAUUCUAAUGUACCUAAAUAUUGCCUUCACUGUUCUCUACAUGAUAGAAGCUGGGCUGAAGUUCUUUGCUUUAAGACUGAAAUAUUUCCGAGAUUACUGGAAUAUUUUUGAUUUCAUCGUUGUGUUAGGAGGUCUGAUGGAUGUUCUGGUGACAGUCUAUGACAAAUUUGCCAAGGAAACGCAGCAGGAAGGUGGUUCAUUAGGUAUUGGGAUUGACCCCAGUAUGUUCCGUUUGUUUCGAGCAGCAAGACUUAUCAAACUGCUUCGACGAGGCUACACGAUCAGAAUACUAUUGUGGACAUUCCUUCAAUCAUUUAAGGCCUUACCUUACGUCACGCUACUUAUCAUGUUAAUGUUCUUCAUGUAUGCCGUCAUAGGGAUGCAGCUUUUUGGAAAAAUAGCAUUAGACCAAUCUACAGAAAUUAACACCAAGAAUAAUUUUCGAAAUCUUCCUCAAGCUUUGCAGGUUCUGUUCAGAUCGGCGACCGGAGAAGACUGGCACAAGAUAAUGUUGGCUUGCUAUGAUGUUGCUAAAUGUGAUAAGAGUGUUGACAUCAAAAAAUAUGGAGAACAUUGCGGAACAACGGCAGGGGCUAUAAUAUUCUUCUGCACAUUUAUAUUUCUCUGUAUGUUCUUGAUGUUGAAUUUAUUUGUGGCUGUUAUCAUGGAUAACUUCGAAUACCUGACUCGUGACGAGUCCAUCCUUGGUCCUCACCACUUGGAUGAAUUUGUCCGCGUGUGGUCUGAGUUCGACCCUGGCGCCAGUGGCUGUAUACACCAUAGCGAAAUCUAUAGGGUGAUGUGCAGUAUGUCACCUCCAGUUGGAUUUGGAAAGAAAUGUCCAAAGAUUGUUGGUUAUAAGCGCCUGAUCAAGAUGAACAUGCCACUGAACGACGAUAACACGGUCUCAUUCAGUACGACUCUCUUCGCUUUGAUUCGAACCUCACUGAACAUCAAACUGCGGGGAAACAUGAAUGCAAAUGACACAGAGCUACGGCGAAUGAUCAAGAGAGUUUGGCCAAAAACCUCACAAAAAGUAUUGAAUAGUUUGAUACCCAAACAGUUAGAACUGAGUUGUCAGCAAAUGACAAUAGGAAAGAUUCACUGUGCAAAGCUUAUACACGAGAACUACAAAUACCUGAAGAGGAAGGGCACGCAGACGGAAAGGGCUGAAAGAGAAGAAGAAAGAAGCACUACAAACUCGAAGAGAGGUCUUUUCUCUAAGUUAGUUGGUUCCCUGCGACGCCAGAGGAGGCCGAAUAUGAUAAGGGAAGACAUAGAACUUGGGAAUGUGGAAAGACGUAGAGAGAGAGCUUACACUAGUGACGCUCGACUUACUAUGGCACGCACUGAUCGGCUAGGACCAAGUCACAUGUUUACUCCAAUGGGAGCAAGAAAACGAGGCAAAACAUUGAUAGAACCGCGGGCUCAGACGAUUCAUGGUCAGAAAGAGACCCCUACCAAAAGAACAUGUCAGACGAUAUAGCAGCCUGGAUCCGACAUCCAAAUCGAAUGGUGACGUCAACAAAAAUGGACCGCAGCUCUUAUGGAGGGAAAAUCUCUAGAUCUUGACAGUUCUAGCGAUAGCGAUACUGGAGUGGAAGUGGAUCAAGAUCGACCCCAUUUAAGGAGAGAUCCGUAUUAUGACG
rnacentral:misc_RNA from 1 species